UUGCAGGAGCCUCCCGGGCUUAUCUGAAUACAAAAACUUGAGGAAGCAAGCCCCAAAGCUCCUGCUAGAUUGUGUGUUGCCGUUUGUGUUGCAGGUUUGCCUUUACUCUCUAGGCUUUCUUGUGUCAAAAAAGCGGCUAAAUCU
rfam:Brassica napus, WGS project CCCW01000000 data, contig: 4285